AAAUCACAAAUCUAAACAAUGAAGAAUACAAAAUUGCAUUGAAAAUGUUUUAGAAUAUUUGAAUUUUCAAUUGAUGCUUACUUACAUUCACAUAUUCAAGUUGUUCUGUUGACAAACAUUUGGAAAAAUUGAUUUUUGCUAUAAAAUUAACUUUUUUUAAUAGUUCAAAAUUCAAGAUAUUGCUUUUAUUUACUUAUUAGUAUAUAAUCAUGUCUAUAACAAAGAUAGAUGAGUCAUAUCUCAUGAUGCAGAUAUUUAUGGCAGUAUGAGACAUUGUUUUUGAAUCUGUUGAUUACUAAGUGAGGCCCUGGCAUCAAAGCAUGGUACUAUUAGAUACUAUUCAGAAUGGUAAUCAACAGCAUGGAAUCACACCAGAUACUUUUGAAGGAAUGGGACCUGGAUUUGUAUCCAGGCUUAUUGGAUGGAAGCCAUUGUGUUUAAAGAUAAUCCAGCAACAACACCACAUACACAAAAAAAUCCAGUUAAGAUAUCCAAUGAAAUUUAAGCUGUCAUAUUGGAUCUGCCAUUUUGAAUUUGAAAACUAUAAUCACAUAGCCA
rnacentral:lncRNA from 1 species